rnacentral:rRNA from 1 species
CCUACGGGCGGCAGCAGUGGGGAAUAUUGGGCAAUGGGCGCAAGCCUGACCCAGCAACGCCGCGUGAAGGAAGAAGGCUUUCGGGUUGUAAACUUCUUUUCUCAGGGACGAAGCAAGUGACGGUACCUGAGGAAUAAGCCACGGCUAACUACGUGCCAGCAGCCGCGGUAAUACGUAGGUGGCAAGCGUUAUCCGGAUUUACUGGGUGUAAAGGGAGUGUAGGCGGGACUGCAAGUCAGAGGUGAAAACCAUGGGCGCAACCUAUGGCCUGCAUUUGAAACUGUAGUUCUUGAGUACUGGAGAGGCAGACGGAAUUCCUAGUGUAGCGGUGAAUUGCGUAGAUAUUAGGAGGAACACCAGUGGCGAAGGCGGUCUGCUGGACAGCAACUGACGCUGAGGCGCGAAAGCGUGGGGAGCAAACAGGAUUAGAUACCCGUGUAGUC